GAUUCAGAUUGUGGCGAGUGGCGGACGGGUGAGUAACACGUGGGUAACCUGCCCAAAAGUGGGGGAUAACAUUUGGAAACAAGUGCUAAUACCGCAUAACAACUACUUUCACAUGAUCNUAGCUUGAAAGAUGGCUCUGCUAUCGCUUUUGGAUGGACCCNCGGCGUAUUANCUAGUUGGNGAGGNAAUGGCUCACCAAGGCAAUGAUACGUAGCCGACCUGAGAGGGUAAUCGGCCACAUUGGGACUGAGACACGGCCCAAACUCCUACGGGAGGCAGCAGUAGGGAAUCUUCCACAAUGGGCGAAAGCCUGAUGGAGCAAUGCCGCGUGAGUGAAGAAGGUUUUCGGAUCGUAAAACUCUGUUGUUGAAGAAGAACAUGCGUGAGAGUAACUGUUCACGUACUGACGGUAUUCAACCAGAAAGCCACGGCUAACUACGUGCCAGCAGCCGCGGUAAUACGUAGGUGGCAAGCGUUGUCCGGAUUUAUUGGGCGUAAAGAGAAUGUAGGCGGUUUAUUAAGUUUGAAGUGAAAGCCCUCGGCUCAACCGAGGAAGUGCUUCGAAAACUGGUAAACUUGAGUGCANAAGAAGAAAGUGGAACUCCAUGUGUAGCGGUGGAAUGCGUAGAUAUAUGGAAGAACACCAGUGGCGAAGGCGGCUUUCUGGUCUGUAACUGACGCUGAAAUUCCAAAGCAUGGGUAGCAAACAGGAUUAGAUACCCUGGNAGUCCAUGCCGUAAACGAUGAGUGCUAAGUGUUGGAGGGUUUCCGCCCUUCAGUGCUGCAGCUAACGCAUUAAGCACUCC
rnacentral:rRNA from 2 species